CUGGUCUCAAAGAGGGUGAGUAGAGUACAACCAUGGUAACAGCAGGACGCAGAAGCACUGGCACGGAGGCAAGUAAGAGGCUGAAUGUGGAAAGUCAACCCCCAACGUGUUGGACCAGUUAAUGCUGCUGGUCUCUCUGAGAGACCACAGAAAGGACUUAUCACAAGUCUUUGUGGUAGCUGAGGAGUGCCCCCUACAGACUGAUAUGCACAAUGCAAGCAGAUGAAGAGGAAAGAACUGAGCAGCAGUAUUUCAGGAUUCUCAAUAAGGCAUCAAUGAAAAAAGAAUGUUCACAUGAAGACAUAAACAGAAAAAGAAGCCACUUCAUAUCUAAAGAAAAAAGAAGAACACUCUUCCACAGGAUCUCAAAAACUCAGAUUCACACUAAUCAUGCUCAGAGG
rnacentral:lncRNA from 1 species